GCCCUGUUCUUUUCAUUAACGCGCGACCAGCGGCUGCGACUUCAAUUCUAAAGAAAAAGAGAGAAGAAAAUUGAACGGAAUCAGUUUUUAAAUGCAGAGGAGAGACGCAGAGGAAAGACGCAGAGGAGAGAGAAUGAAGGUAAUUGGUCGCUGUUAUUUUUGGCGUCAACGGAAUUUGCCGAAUCCGUGUAGUUUUUGAUCGCUGCGUCUCUCCUCCUCCCUCCGAGCAACCAUUAAAGAUAAAAACAAUGAAGAAAUUUCAGUCGCUGGUCGCAACCGCCGCGAGAAUGAAACGAACAGGGCUAUA
rnacentral:lncRNA from 1 species